rnacentral:rRNA from 1 species
UACGUAGGGGGCUAGCGUUGUCCGGAUUUAUUGGGCGUAAAGAGCGUGUAGGCGGCCAGGUAGGUCUGGUGUGAAAACUCGAGGCUUAACCUCGAGAUGUCAUCGGAAACCAUCUGGCUAGAGUCCGGAAGAGGAGAGUGGAAUUCCUGGUGUAGCGGUAAAAUGCGUAGAUAUAUGAAAGAACAUCAAUAUGGCGAAGGCAGUUAACUAUUCUGCUACUGACAUUGAGGGCACGAAAGCGUGGGGAGCAAAACGG